rnacentral:rRNA from 1 species
GUGAGUAACACGAGGGCAAUCUGCCCUGCACUCUGGGACAAGCCCUGGAAACGGGGUCUAAUACCGGAUACGACCACUUCAGGCAUCUGAUGGUGGUGGAAAGCUCCGGCGGUGCAGGAUGAGCCCGCGGCCUAUCAGCUUGUUGGUGAGGUAACGGCUCACCAAGGCGACGACGGGUAGCCGGCCUGAGAGGGCGACCGGCCACACUGGGACUGAGACACGGCCCAGACUCCUACGGGAGGCAGCAGUGGGGAAUAUUGCACAAUGGGCGAAAGCCUGAUGCAGCGACGCCGCGUGAGGGAUGACGGCCU